rnacentral:rRNA from 1 species
UAGUUGGUGAGGUAACGGCUCACCAAGGCGAUGAUCUUUAGGGGGCCUGAGAGGGUGAUCCCCCACACUGGUACUGAGACACGGACCAGACUCCUACGGGAGGCAGCAGUGAGGAAUAUUGGACAAUGGGUGAGAGCCUGAUCCAGCCAUCCCGCGUGAAGGAUUAAGGACCUAUGGUUUGUAAACUUCUUUUGUACAGGGAUAAACCUACUUACGUGUAAGUAGCUGAAGGUACUGUACGAAUAAGCACCGGCUAACUCCGUGCCAGCAGCCGCGGCAAUACGGAGGGUGCAAGCGUUAUCCGGAUUUAUUGGGUUUAAAGGGUCCGUAGGCGGAUCUAUAAGUCAGUGGUGAAAUCUCAUAGCUUAACUAUGAAACUGCCAUUGAUACUGUAGGUCUUGAGUGUAGUUGAAGUAGCUGGAAUGAGUAGUGUAGCGGUGAAAUGCAUAGAUAUUACUCAGAACACCGAUUGCGAAGGCAGGUUACUAAGUUACAACUGACGCUGAUGGACGAAAGCGUGGGGAGCGAACAGGAUUAGAUACCCUGGUAGUCCACGCCGUAAACGAUGCUUACUCGUUUUUGGGGCAUUACGCUUCAGAGACCAAGCGAAAGUGAUAAGUAAGCCACCUGGGGAGUACGUUCGCAAGAAUGAAACUCAAAGGAAUUGACGGGGGCCCGCACAAGCGGUGGAUUAUGUGGUUUAAUUCGAUGAUACGCGAGGAACCUUACCAAGACUUAAAUGGGAAUUGACAGACGCAGAAAUGUGUUUUUCUUCGGACAAUUUUCAAGGUGCUGCAUGGUUGUCGUCAGCUCGUGCCGUGAGGUGUUAGGUUAAGUCCUGCAACGAGCGCAACCCCUGUCCUUUGUUGCCAGCACGUAAUGGUGGGAACUCAAGGGAGACUGCCGGUGAUAAACCGGAGGAAGGUGGGGAUGACGUCAAGUCAUCAUGGCCCUUACGGCCAGGGCUACACACGUGCUACAAUGGCGCGUACAGAGGGCUGCAAGCUAGCGAUAGUGAGCGAAUCCCAAAAAGCGCGUCGUAGUCCGGAUCGGAGUCUGCAACUCGACUCCGUGAAGUCGGAAUCGCUAGUAAUCGCAAAUCAGAAUGUUGCGGUGAAUACGUUCCCGGGCCU